AUUGAACGCUGGCGGCAUGCUUUACACAUGCAAGUCGAACGGUAACAGGCCGCAAGGUGCUGACGAGUGGCGAACGGGUGAGUAAUGCAUCGGAACGUGCCCAGUCGUGGGGGAUAACUACUCGAAAGAGUAGCUAAUACCGCAUACGAUCUAUGGAUGAAAGCGGGGGACCGUAAGGCCUCGCGCGAUUGGAGCGGCCGAUGUCAGAUUAGGUAGUUGGUGAGGUAAAGGCUCACCAAGCCAACGAUCUGUAGCUGGUCUGAGAGGACGACCAGCCACACUGGGACUGAGACACGGCCCAGACUCCUACGGGAGGCAGCAGUGGGGAAUUUUGGACAAUGGGCGCAAGCCUGAUCCAGCAAUGCCACGUGCAGGAAGAAGGCCUUCGGGUUGUAAACUGCUUUUGUACGGAACGAAACGGCUCUGGUUAAUACCCGGGGCUAAUGACGGUACCGUAAGAAUAAGCACCGGCUAACUACGUG
rnacentral:rRNA from 1 species